rnacentral:misc_RNA from 1 species
UGACGAGGAUGAAGGAUAC